UUCAACUUCCGGCUGAUGGAUUACCCCCUUGAGCAGCCACUUCAAACACUUUUAUCAUGGAUGGAGUCACUUUUUUUAGCUUCAGACUGUUGGUUGCAAUCCACUACCACUGAAAGAGGAAAGUCAUACACACCUAUGAUGGCUUGAGGUGUUGAUGAUGACCAGAUCUGCUCCUCGAUCUCUGCAGAACUGCCUGCUGUCGUUCCAGCUCAUCUCCUCGUUGCAUAUGGAAAAACAAACUGGACCACACAGAUUUGUAUGCGUGAACACUUUUUUAAAACUGUAUCGUAAAAGAAACCAUUUGCAGAAAAACAGAUUUACUGACCAUGUCCAGAAUUUGCCUUCAGUUCCUCGUUGGUCUCUGUUAAAUCUGUGAUGGUGAUGUGCUGGAGUACGACGAAGACCAGCAGAAGAACACAAAUGAGCCCGAGACACACUGUCAUCAACACCAAACACCUGCUUCCUCCUGACAACACACACAUAUAUCAGACAACAAUUCAUAUUUUACUGUAGAUAUAAAAUUCAAUUUGAAUGAAAAAUGAUUUUUUUUUUCUGUUUACUUUUCUUCUGAGCUUGUCCUUCAUCCUGGCUGUGACUCUGUAUUUGAGAUCCACGUGUGUCUAUAACAUCUUUGUGUUCAACAUUUUGAUAAA